rnacentral:rRNA from 1 species
GAUGAACGCUGGCGGCGUGCCUAAUACAUGCAAGUCGAGCGAACGGACGAGAAGCUUGCUUCUCUGAUGUUAGCGGCGGACGGGUGAGUAACACGUGGCUAACCUACCUAUAAGACUGGGAUAACUUCGGGAAACCGGAGCUAAUACCGGAUAAUAUUUUGAACCGCAUGGUUCAAAAGUGAAAGACGGUCUUGCUGUCACUUAUAGAUGGAUCCGCGCUGCAUUGGCUAGUUGGUAGGGUAACGGCUUACCAAGGCAACGAUGCAUAGCCGACCUGUGGGGGUGAUGGCCCCCUGUGAAGCUGAGCCGCGGCCAGACUCCUACGGGAGGCAGCAGUAGGGAAUCUUCCGCAAUGGGCGAAAGCCUGACGGAGCAACGCCGCGUGAGUGAUGAAGGUCUUCGGAUCGUAAAACUCUGUUAUUAGUUAAGAACAUAUGUGUAAGUAACUGUGCACAUCUUGACGGUACCUAAUCAGAAAGCCACGGCUAACUACGUG